CCCAUUGGCUGGGCGAUGGCGAUUGGGCGGGGCCCGGCGAGCGAGGCCCCGGCCAGAGGGGCGGGGGCGGAAGAGGGCGCGCUCCCCGCCAGUUUUGUGACGUCACGGGGGUCAGACAAUCCCUUCCAUUUGGCACGGCCUGCCUAUUGGCUCCACGCGUGCGCGCGCUCCCGUGGCCACGCCCUGUUGCUGGUGCAGGGGAGGCUUAUGGACAAAGAAGAUGAAGGUGGAUUAGAAUAGAACAGCUACCACAGGUAACUCUCCCAACCAACGACAAGGUAAGGUGCCCUUAGUCCCUUGCCAUUCUCUUUUAGAGCAAGGAGAUAUAUUUCUCCUCCCCUAAAAACAAUCACACUCUGGCAGUUUCUGUUUAAAUAGAGUCCCAGCAUAUCUUGACCAAGGGCUCAGUGUGGCCUGAAUUUGUUCUGGGUACAUGCACAGGAAGGCAAAACUGUCCUCAAGUAUAAGUUUAAGGGAGAAUCCCUUAUUUCCCAUCUUAUAACUAUGCAUAAUUGGAUGUGCAUCUAAUUAAAAUCAGAUGCAUUGUGGGAAGGAACAUGCACAGUUGAAAAAAUGAAUAUAGGACCUAAUCUACCAAGCAAAAUAUGACUCAUAUUACAACUUCUAUCAACCAAACAGCUGUUACUGAACUACAUAAAAGUAAACCCCAAACAAUACUUUCAGGCCUUCAGUGUUCUCAUGUAGCCUACUGCCCAUCUUGAGUUUAUCUUUCUCUGAUCUGUAUUAUUGCUUCACUUUGAAUAAAAUUAUCUUGCUAUUUUUCAAA